rnacentral:rRNA from 1 species
UACGGGGGGGGCAAGCGUUGUUCGGAAUUACUGGGCGUAAAGCGUGCGCAGGCGGUUUUGUAAGCCAGAUGUGAAAUCCCCGGGCUCAACCUGGGAAUGGCAUUUGGGACUGCAAGGCUGGAGUUUGGCAGAGGAGACUGGAAUUCCCGGUGUAGCAGUGAAAUGCGUAGAUAUCGGGAGGAAUACCGAUGGCGAAGGCAGGUCUCUGGGCUAUAACUGACGCUCAUGCACGAAAGCGUGGGGAGCAAACAGG